CUGGAACGCGCCCCAGGCGCACCCAGAAACCCUUUGUGAACUUAUACCUUACUGUUGCCUCGGCGCAUGCCGGCCCCCAGGGGCCCCUUGGAGACAAGGAGCAGGCACGCCGGCGGCCAAGUUAACUCUUGUUUUUACACUGAAACUCUGAGACAAAAAAACAAAAUGAAUCA
rnacentral:misc_RNA from 1 species